UUUUGUGCUGUUUCAGACAUGUUUGCUGCAUGAGUUUCAUUUACUGGCUGGAGGGGAGGAGUCUCUUUUCACACAGACAAGCCUUCUAGAUGAAAGUGAAAAUAAGAAGAUCGGAGACAGGAGCGUAACACCAACUCUAGAUGCCAAAACCCUCUGAUGUGAUGAUAACCACGCCAUUAUACCAGCAACAGCAGAAUGAAAUCUCCAAGUUCCUGAAGACCAAGCCACUGGCUCUGGGGAUUUUGGUAGUACUGAUAGCCUUAUUGGCACUCGGUUUGACGCUCCAUAAUGAGAGUUUUCAUCUUCUCUGGUCACCAAUCAUUUCCACUAUAAUUGCAAGA